rnacentral:rRNA from 1 species
UGAGGAAUAUUGGUCAAUGGACGCAAGUCUGAACCAGCCAUGUCGCGUGCAGGAUGACUGCCCUAUGGGUUGUAAACUGCUUUUGUAUGGGAAGAAAGUGAGAUACGUGUAUCUCUUUGCCGGUACCAUACGAAUAAGGAUCGGCUAACUCCGUGCCAGCAGCCGCGGUAAUACGGAGGAUCCAAGCGUUAUCCGGAUUUAUUGGGUUUAAAGGGUGCGUAGGCGGUUUAAUAAGUCAGUGGUGAAAUCUUGCAGCUUAACUGUAAAAUUGCCAUUGAUACUGCUAGACUUGAGUAUAGUUGAGGUGGGCGGAAUGUGUUGUGUAGCGGUGAAAUGCAUAGAUAUAACACAGAACACCAAUUGCGAAGGCAGCUCACUAAGCUAUAACUGACGCUGAGGCACGAAAGCGUGGGUAGCGAACA